CACGUAGGGCGCAAGCGUUGUCCGGAAUUAUUGGGCGUAAAGAGCUCGUAGGCGGCCUGUUGCGUCCGCUGUGAAAGCCCGGGGCUUAACCCCGGGUCUGCAGUGGAUACGGGCAGGCUAGAGGUAGGUAGGGGAGAAUGGAAUUCCCGGUGUAGCGGUGAAAUGCGCAGAUAUCAGGAAGAACACCCGUGGCGAAGGCGGCUUUCUGGGACGGUACUGACGCUGAGACGCGAAAGCGUGGGGAGCGAACAGG
rnacentral:rRNA from 1 species